rnacentral:rRNA from 1 species
GAGUUUGAUCAUGGCUCAGAGCGAACGCUGGCGGCAGGCUUAACACAUGCAAGUCGAGCGGGCCCUUCGGGGUCAGCGGCGGACGGGUGAGUAACGCGUGGGAACGUGCCUUCUGGUUCGGAAUAACCCUGGGAAACUAGGGCUAAUACCGGAUACGCCCUUUUGGGGAAAGGUUUACUGCCGGAAGAUCGGCCCGCGUCUGAUUAGCUAGUUGGUGGGGUAAUGGCCUACCAAGGCGACGAUCAGUAGCUGGUCUGAGAGGAUGAUCAGCCACACUGGGACUGAGACACGGCCCAGACUCCUACGGGAGGCAGCAGUGGGGAAUAUUGGACAAUGGGCGCAAGCCUGAUCCAGCCAUGCCGCGUGAGUGAUGAAGGCCUUAGGGUUGUGAAGCUCUUUUAUCCGGGACGAUAAUGACGGUACCGGAGGAAUAAGCCCCGGCUAACUUCGUGCCAGCAGCCGCGGUAAC